rnacentral:rRNA from 1 species
GGACUACUGGGGUAUCUAAUCCCGUUUGCUCCCCACGCUUUCGCGCAUCAGCGUCAGUACCGGUCCAGGGGGCCGCCUUCGCCACCGGUGUUCCUCCCAAUAUCUACGCAUUUCACCGCUACACUGGGAAUUCCACCCCCCUCUCCCGGACUCGAGCCUCGCAGUUUCUUCCGCACGUCCUCAGUUAAGCCGAGGGAUUUCACGAAAGACACGCGUGGCCGCCUACGCGCCCUUUACGCCCAAUAAUUCCGAAUAACGCUAGCCCCCUCUGUAUUACCGCGGCUGCUGGCAC